rnacentral:lncRNA from 1 species
GGCUUGAUCUUUGGUGUGCGAUUAUUAAUACUGUUUAAAUGUGAGCAGACUCCCAAGUUCCAUGUUGGUCUUCCUGACUUACACUCUGCAGGUAGUAUUUGGACCCAUUUCAAAGACAGCACAGGCCAGAAACCAUUCCAGGGCAGUCGUUCUCUUCUGGCGGAAAAGGAUGUUGUCCUGUAUAUCAGGAGCAUAAGGCUCAACUCUCAUGGUAUAAGUAGUAAAAUCUCCAUCAGUAUUCAAGUGCCCCCCUCAGAUGCUCCUUCAGAGACUGACUGCUGACUGCUUCUGGUAGAAUGCUAUUUUGUAGAGAUGGCCAAGUGUACACUGGACUAAGGGCUGAUAUGUGAGAAACCGCAUCUAAUGCCAUAUCUGGAAUUGACUGUGGACCAAAAAGUUUGUAUACGUAUAUCCGAUUAUGGAUAAAAGACAAUUGGUGAGAAAUAUAGAAGUUGUCAGUAAAAUAUAAAAGGAGAAAUUAAUUUUUUUACCGACCCUUCCCACUUACUAUUCACAUUAUAUACAAAACUAUGAAUAAAAUAAUAUUUAUUAUUAUUUUUAUUCUAGCC